rfam:Myotis lucifugus cont2.13603, whole genome shotgun sequence.
GGCCUGGUAGCUCAGUUGGUUAGAGCAUCGUCCUGAUAAGCCAAAGUUGUGGGUUCAAUCUCCAGUCAGGGCA